rnacentral:rRNA from 1 species
GAUCCUGGCUUAGGAUGAACGCUGGCGGCGUGCCUAACACAUGCAAGUCGAGCGGAGAUAAGUGAAGCCUAGCGAUUCUUAUCUUAGCGGCGGAUGGGUGAGUAACACGUGGGUAACCUGCCCUGUACUGGGGAAUAACAGUUGGAAACGGCUGUUAAUGCCGCAUAUGCGCACGGAGCCGCAUGACUCCGGGCGGAAAGAUUUAUCGGUACAGGAUGGGCCCGCGCCGGAUUAACUAGUUGGCGGGGUAACGGCCCACCAAGGUGAUGAUCCGUAGCCGACCUGAGAGGGUGACCGGCCACAUUGGGACUGAGACACGGCCCAAACUCCUACGGGAGGCAGCAGUGGGGGAUAUUGCACAAUGGGGGAAACCCUGAUGCAGCGACGCCGCGUGAAGGAUGACGUAUUUCGGUAUGUAAACUUCUAUCAGCGGGGAAGAAGAUGACGGUACCCGACUAAGAAGCCCCGGCUAACUACGUGCCAGCCGCGGC